AGCACAUGUGCUCUCCCGAAUUUCGGUGAUAAUAUCGCGAUAUAAUAGUGGCGACGAGGCAAAUCGGUAGUAAAAGCGUGUAUUAGACUGUGUUAGUGACUUUUUGUGAAGUUGUAAGUGCAAAGUGCAAAAAAAUGGGUAUUAAAUUUGGUGAAUUUGAUAUGGGUCAUGGCUGCUGGGAAAACUACAUUACAAGGUUUGAAUUCUGUUUAAGUGCAAAUGAUAUUGUGGAUGACGUCAAGAAGAAGGCGAAUUUGUUGGCGGUGUGUGGCUCUCAACUAUUUGACUUAAUAGUUUCUUUGUCAUCUCCGAUAAGUAUAGGGGACAUAACCUAUAAACAAAUUUUGAUAUUUUUGAAGGCUCAUUUCCACCCCACACCUAAUGAGAUUGUAGAAUCUUUUAAGUUUCACUCAAGAAAUCAAGAAGAGGGGGAGAAGGUUAGAGAUUAUGUGGCAAAUUUAAGGAAAAUGAGUAUUCAUUGCAAUUUUACAGACUUAGACCGAACUUUACGAGAUCGGUUGGUAUGUGGUAUUAGGAGCAAAGAGGUUCAAAGGAAAUUGUUACAAUGUGAGAAGCUGACAUUUACUCAAGCAACUGAGAUAGCAUUUUCACAUGAGAGUGCCACAUUUGAUUCCAGUAUUAUUGUAGUGCCAGGACCAUCUAAACCAAAUGUGGAGGUAGAUGAACCCAUGGAAGUAAACAAAAUCACUAACAAAAAGGUUGACAAACAGAAUAAACCAUGCUUCAGGUGUGGUAGGCAACACAGAGGAGAGUGCAGAUUCCGUUGGAGUAGAUGUAAUGCGUGUGGCAGAACUGGCCACAUUGAGGCAGUCUGUCUUACAAAAAAUAAACAGGAUGAUGGACAUAAAUCAAAUUGUAAUGGAUUAUAUGCAAAUGUAAACAAUGUUAGAGAAAAUAAAGUUGACCCCAUUAUGGUAAAGGUGUCAAUUGAGGGGUCUAUUAUUGACAUGGAAGUUGAUACGGGAUGUGCAUUUACUCUAAUUUCUGAAGUGACAGCCAGACUCAUUUGGAAAGGGAAAUUACCUGUAUUAGAGGAAGAUGAUAUUGCAUUGACUACAUGGACAGAUAGCCAAUUAAGAAUAUUGGGGAAAAUUCAAGUGCAAGCUUCUUUUAAGGGUUUACAAAAUAAUCUUAUAAUGUAUAUAGCCAGAGGUAACGGACCCAGCCUCUUAGGGCGAAAUUGGUUUCAGCCAUUCGGAAUACGGGUUCAAGGAGUCAUGCAUCUGAAAAUAAACAGCGAGGAAAUUAAAGGGCUCCUACAGACAUAUAGCGAUGUUUUUCAGGAAGGUUUGGGAAAGUAUAAAGGCCCAUUAGUGAAGAUUACACCGAGAGAAGGAGCGGUGCCCAAGUUUUUGAAAAGUAGACCCAUUCCUUUUGCUUUGAGGGAAAGAGUAAUUAAGGAAAUAGACAGACUAGUAGAGGAAGGAGUUUUGGAGCCAAUUGCACACUCCGAGUGGGCUACCCCUAUAGUACCAGUUCUGAAACCGAAUGGUAAUGUAAGGCUUUGUGGUGACUAUAGGUCUACAGUAAAUAUGGUGACCGACACUGAUACAUAUCCUCUGCCUACUCUAGAUGAGGCUUUCACAGCCAUACAGGGUGGCACGAUUUUCAGCAAAAUUGAUUUGGAAAGGGCAUACACUCAAGUUAGUGUGGACGAGGCAACAGCACAGCUAUUAACAAUAAAUACACCGAAAGGCCUUUAUAAAAUGAAACGUCUAGCUUUUGGGGUUAAAGCGUGUCCAGGCAUCUUUCAAAGACUAAUGUCUUCCUUGCUUACAGGAAUAAGGGGGAUAGCUGUGUUACUAGAUGAUAUUGUUAUAAGUGGCACAGAUGUUGCUGAGCAUAACUCCAGGUUAGAAAUGGUCUUAAAGAAAUUACAAGAAGCUGGCCUAAGGGUAAACAAGGAAAAGUGUAAUUUUGCAGUAAGAAGUGUGAAAUUUUUAGGAUUCCUCAUUGAUGAAUGUGGUAUACAUCCUUGUGAAGAUAAAAUACAUGCAAUUGAGGGUACACCGGCCCCAAGUAAUGUAAAAGAGCUCCAAGCUUUCUUAGGAUUGCUUAAUUUUUAUGAUCGGUUUUUACCACACAAAGCUAAUAUUGCUGAACCGCUGUAUAAGUUGUUAAAUAAAGAUGUGAAAUGGCAGUGGACUAUACAGCAUCAGAAGGCAUUUGAAAAGUUGCGCAAGAUGUUGUCGAGUACUGACACUCUAGUCCAUUACGAUGUGAAUAAAGAGAUAAGGAUGUCUUGUGAUGCGUCACAAUUUGGCUUGGGCGCUGUUUUGGAACACGUGAUGAAAGAUGGAUCUGUCAGACCGGUUAUGUUUGCUUCAAGGACCAUGAAUGUUCAUGAGAGGAAUUAUGGUCAGAUAGACAAAGAGGCAGCAGCUAUAGUAUUUGGUCUUAAGAAAUUCCACCAGUUUAUUAGUGGCCGGAAGAUUACGAUCAGAACCGAUCAUAAACCGUUAUUGGGGUUGUUUGAACCUAAAAAACCCAUUCCUAAUGUCAUAUCUCCGAGAAUGCUUCGCUGGGCCUUGCUGUUGAACUCCUAUGAUUACUCCAUACAAUAUGUGGAAGGUAAAAAACUAGGAAACGCUGAUGCUUUAAGCAGGUGGCCGUCCCGUGACCAGUCGUCGGAAGAAGAAUACUUAGGAGUCCUGCUUAUAGAAGAAACUCCGACAGACCUGGAACUGUCAGCAAAUGAAGUGGCUAAACUAACAGUUAAAGAUAAUACACUGAGCAAAAUAUUAUACUGGAUUCGGAACGGGUGGCCUAGCAAAGUGGAUGUAGAAUAUAAAGUGUACUGGCAGAAACGAAAUGAGAUGUCAGAGUAUAAAAAUUGUGUUUUGUGGGGUAAUCGGGUAAUUAUACCAGUCAAAAUGAGACCAUAUAUCCUACAAGAAUUACACUCCAAUCAUGACGGAAUAGUAAUAACAAAAGCCUUAGCCCGAAGUUAUUUUUGGUGGCCGGCCAUAGACAAAGAAAUUGAGAAUUUGGUUAAAAGAUGCGAAACCUGUGCUGAAAACAGGAAUAUGCCUUCCCAAGUGAGCCAUAAGUGGAUAAGACCGGAGAAGGCUUGGUCACGGUUGCAUGUUGAUUAUGCGGGCCCAUUUCAAGGUAAAACAUUUCUCAUACUGAUCGAUGCUUAUUCAAAAUGGCCUGAAGUUAAGAUUGUUCCGGAUAUGAGUUCAUUGACAUUAAUAAAUGUAUUAAGGGAUAUAUUUGCAGAACAAGGGUUACCAGACACCUUGGUCAGUGAUAAUGGCAGAAGUUUUAUUUCAGAUCACUUUAAAGAAUUCCUAUCAACAAAUGGGAUAAGACAAGUGUUGACACCACCUUACCAUCCGGCGUCUAAUGGACAGGCCGAGAGGACGGUUCAAACAGUUAAAAAUAAAUUGAGGAAACAGUCGACACUCCCAUGGCACGUUAAAUUACCUACAAUACUUUAUGGGUUACGUACUACACCAAAUAGUACUAGCGACAAAUCACCGGCGGAACUUUUGAAUAAUAGACGUUUCAGAACAAAGUUUGACCACUUAAAUCCUCUCACUUUUAAGAAUCAAGAGAAAGUGGAAGUAUGCGAGGAGAAUGAAAACACUGAAGUACGUUCAUUUCAAACGGGACAGACAGUGUAUUUCCGGAAUUACAGUUCAGGACCACGCUGGUUGAAAGGAGUCAUAGAGAAGAGACAAGGCAUUUGUAGGUAUAUAAUAAGAUGGAAUGGGAAGCUGAUGAAAAGACAUAUUAAUCAGAUACAAGGUCAUGGGGGAGAGGCGAGAGAUAUCCGCCAGAAUACAUCGGAAGAUACUGGUCGUGAAGUUUUACAGGACACGGAGGUGAAUAAAACAUGUGAAGAUAGUGAUGAGGAUAUUAAUGUAAAAGUAAAUGCUACUCCACCGGCCUCACAGUGGGCUGAUAUCAUAGGGGUUUCUGGGCCUCAGGAUUAUACGUUUAACCAGAGCCAACAACGCAUACCGCCAACCAACAAACGAACAAGAUCACCUUCAUCACCACAAAACAUGGAAGCCAAGAGAUUAGCCCUAGAUGCCUAUGAGAGUCUGUCAGAGUCUGAUUAUGAACAGACUGAAGAUUCAAACCAAGACUUGUAGACGAUGAACGAUGAUAGUUUUAGUAUAAAUAUAUAUGAUAGAGUGUAAGGACCUUGUAACAGACAAUUGAAUAGUAUUAGUGAAUUACCAAUGAACAGUGAAACUUAGUGUUAGUGAACUAUCAGUGAUUAGUGAAACUUAGUUUUAGUGAACUAUCUCGAGGGGAAGGCAUGUAGUGUAUUGAAAUAUGAGGGUACCCCUACAAAACCAGUCUGGAUUUGUCAGGUCAAAAAACCAUUAUGGAGAUGUUUUCAAAAAAUCACAAUUUGAUAAAGAAGUGUUGAGGAAGAAACGAGAGAAACAAAUGGAUGCAGUGCAUUCCAACCGUCAAGAGGCAACUAUUUAUGUUCUAUUUGCACUCAC